GGGAAGCCCAGAUGGCCCGGCGAGGAUGGGAACUGGCUGCGGUUUGUCACUAGGAAUUGUUACGAAUGUCGCAGACUGGUGAAGCCCUAGCUGAAGUCCUAACCUCUACCAGAGCGGCUGCUAUCAACCAAAGUGACAGGAGAACCAUCACGAGUCGAGUUCACUUUCCAACUACUGGGCAAAGCAAAUGCCCAGAGCAAACCCCCCCCCCAAAAUAAGUUUCUUUAAGAAAAAAAGGAAAAGGGAAAAAAUGCGAAAUAGAAAAAAAUGAUCUUCUGUGCUUUGCUUCAAUGAAAAUGAAAUUUGAGCUCUGA